UAGGGAAUCUUCGGCAAUGGGGGCAACCCUGACCGAGCAACGCCGCGUGAGUGAAGAAGGUUUUCGGAUCGUAAAGCUCUGUUGUAAGAGAAGAACGUGUGUGAGAGUGGAAAGUUCACACAGUGACGGUAACUUACCAGAAAGGGACGGCUAACUACGUGCCAGCAGCCGCGGUAAUACGUAGGUCCCGAGCGUUGUCCGGAUUUAUUGGGCGUAAAGCGAGCGCAGGCGGUUUAAUAAGUCUGAAGUUAAAGGCAGUGGCUUAACCAUUGUUCGCUUUGGAAACUGUUAGACUUGAGUGCAGAAGUGGAGAGUGGAAUUCCAUGUGUAGCGGUGAAAUGCGUAGAUAUAUGGAGGAACAAGGGCGGCGAAAGCGGCUCUCUGGUCUGUAACUGACGCUGAGGCUCGAAAGCGUGGGGAGCAAACAGG
rnacentral:rRNA from 1 species